GUCGCACCUACCGAUUGAAUGGUCCGGUGAAGCCUCGGGAUUGCGACCAGUUCACUUCAUUGGGAGUUGGUUGUGAGAACUUGUCUAAACCUUAUCAUUUAGAGGAAGGUG
rnacentral:rRNA from 1 species